CUGAGAUGGUUGGUGCAUCUUUCUUCUUGAAAUGGCCACACCAAGUAGCUUAGGCUGACUUCCAACUCAAGAUCUUUCUGCCUCUGCUUCUGAAAUGCUGGGCCACCCAUGCCCUAAUUCCAUUGAUCAUCUCGACAGGCUCCAGGACCCAGACUUUUGGGGCACUAAUCCAGGUUGUAGAGAUGUUCUGUAGAUAAUGGCUAACAUCUACAGUCGGUUGACUCUUAGGGAAAGGCAGUCAUGUUCAAUAUUCUGGGUAGCCCUCAGACAGUUAGUGGAAGCUUUUGAAGAGCAAAACUAAAGUUUUGAGGAAGGGAAGAAGUGUGUCCCGGCCCUGCAGCAUGGAAGUGAGCUGUUGCCACACAGCCCUCUGAUGUUUAUGUUUAUGGUUACAGACUGGUUCUGCUCUGAGCAGGAGAGCUGCGGUUUUGCAGUGGGCGUGAAUUAAAUGAGGAAACUCAUAGCUGGUCAAAAUGCUGAGAAUGAGUUUCUAGGGGGCACACUCAGCCCUCACCGGGACAGCCAGAGCAUCCCCUGUUUUCAAGGUUCAGAGAAAGCCAUGGAGAGCUGAAAGACUGGAGAAUGUGGAAGCAGGCUGGGAAGUGUUGUCUUCAAGACAGGAUAGAGGUGACGUCGAAGACUCUAAUAUUUAUGAAGAAAAGGUCUGUGUUCACUCUGCUCCCAGAUCGACUGCAAGCGGCUAGAACACAGUAUGAAUGUCAAACUCCCCUGUCCACCUUACCUUGGAACAAUGAGAAGAUGAAAGGCAGGCCCGGGAGUUCUCACCAGAGACUACAAGCGAAUGCUUGGAAUGCAGAAGGGGAGAACGCCUUGGCGCACAAAGGAAAUGCCUGGUGAAUAUUCAAGAGUCUGCCAUCUCAAUUCCAGUUGCUUGGCUUGUAUGGCUUGUCCUGAGAAGGGCUAAGGAGGGCAGGAUGCUAACCGCAAUGCAGUGUGAACACGCUCUUCCAGCGGAAUGGCCUGGUCCUAGCGAUCUCACUUACUUCGAGUUGGCAGUAUGAUUUUCUGGGAAAAGAACUGUGAAGUGUUCCCAGUGAGUGCCUUAGACGGAAGUGGUUUUUUCUCUCUUUCUCUGGAACCUUUACGUUUUCUUCAGGGUUGCUGACCAGCUACAUAAGUCACGGUAAAGUAGUACAGACAAAACUCUAUUUAGAAUGGAGUGUAUUUGGGGCCAAAAAUGUAUCUUAAGGUAAAGGUUUGUCUUAAGUUGUCUUGUUGGAAAUGCCUUAGUUUCAGAGACAAAGCAAGAUGGCUCCCAAGGGCAACAUGAGUGAUUGUCAGUGUUACCCUGUUCUUGUCGGUGUCCAGGACAAUAUCUAAAGCAGAACACUGACCAGCAAGAGUGUAUAUUAAAAUUCUCUUCUAUGUAA